rnacentral:rRNA from 1 species
CUCGUAGGCGGUUCGUCGCGCCCGGUGUGAAAGUCCAUCGCUUAACGGUGGAUCUGCGCCGGGUACGGCGGGCGUGGAGUGCGGUAGGGGAGGACUGGAAUUCCCGGUGUAACGGUGGAAUGUGUAGAUAUCGGGAAGAACACCAAUGGCGAAGGCAGGUCUCUGGGCCGUUACUGACGCUGAGGAGCGAAAGCGUGGGGAGCGAACA